rnacentral:rRNA from 1 species
UACAGAGGGGGCAAGCGUUGUUCGGAAUUACUGGGCGUAAAGGGCUCGUAGGUGGCCAACUAAGUCAGACGUGAAAUCCCUCGGCUUAACCGGGGAACUGCGUCUGAUACUGGAUGGCUUGAGUUUGGGAGAGGGAUGCGGAAUUCCAGGUGUAGCGGUGAAAUGCGUAGAUAUCUGGAGGAACACCGGUGGCGAAGGCGGCAUCCUGGACCAACACUGACGCUGAGGAGCGAAAGCCAGGGGAGCAAACGGG